ensembl:misc_RNA 7SK 7SK RNA
ACAUGUGAAGGCAAUCUGGUUGUGAUAUCUGUCACCCCACUGAUCACCAGGGCUGAUUUGGCUGAUCUGGCUGUCUAGGCGGGUGUCACCUUCUUCCCUCACCACUCCAUGGGUGUCCCUCCUGAAACACUGCACCUGAUGGAAGAGGACGCCAUCCCGGAUAAAGGAGGACCGGUCUUUGGUCAAGGGUGAGCAAGUAGCUCUGCUCCCCUGCAAGAACCUCCAAACAAGCUCUCAAAAAACAGAAGAGAGUGAGUGAAAAGUCUGUGUAAAUUAAACAUUAAUAGCAGGUAACACUCAUUUAACAUAGCUAGUAGAAUCUGCAUAU